GUAAAAUGUCUAAAAAAGACACAAUUGUUACCACUUUAAAGCCUUAUUUAUAACUCAUUCAUGAUAAUACUUUGCCGGAAUUGUAAUCCUGACAUUGUCUAGGCCAAGAUUGAAUCUGGGUCCCUUGCUUCCCAAACCUAGGUCACCAGGUCAAAUCUUUGAAAAACCUUGUUACUAAUCUAAAGGCCCAGUAUAUGACUCAAACUUGAUGAAACCAGGACAAAAUGUUUAUAUGACAAUAUAAAGGUCAGGUUUGAAUCUGGGUCAGGUGUGGUCAAAAACUAGAUCACUUGGUCAAAUCCUUGAACUCAGAUGAGCGCACAAGGGCCAUUAUUAGAAAAUCGCUAUACUGCCUUCGCUGUGUAGACUUUGUUGACUAUAUCGCGUAUACUAUAUUUGACUCCAUAAUAUAUUUCAUCUGCAAAAACAUUUGAAAAUUGAAAAAAACAAGUUUUGUUAGUAAUGAUUGUGAGUGAAUAUGUAAAUAAUAUUACUUUUUGCUAGUAGCUGUGAAAUAAAGAGCAAUUGCAUACAAGAUAUUUAGAGUAAUAAGAUUAUGAAUGAUUAUGACGUGGUUAUCAUUCACAAUUUUAUUGUAUUAUACCCGGUUCUCGUCGUUAUAUCAUAUAAAGAUAGUGUAUUGUUGUUAGAAUUUGAACUAAUCACGAAGUCAAUCAAAUAUUUAAGGAACUUCUAUCUUUCAAAUGCUGUAGUUUUUGUAUUUCAUAAAUUAAAAUCACCGUUAAGA